UGGGGAGUCGCCAAGUGGUAAGGCAGCGGUUUUUGGUGCCGCCAUUCGGGGGUUCGAGUCCCUCCUCCCCAGCCA
rnacentral:tRNA from 1 species